rnacentral:rRNA from 1 species
CCUACGGGAGGCAGCAGUAGGGAAUCUUCCACAAUGGACGAAAGUCUGAUGGAGCAACGCCGCGUGAGUGAAGAAGUAUUUCGGUAUGUAAAGCUCUAUCAGCAGGGAAGAAAAUGACGGUACCUGACUAAGAAGCCCCGGCUAACUACGUGCCAGCAGCCGCGGUAAUACGUAGGGGGCAAGCGUUAUCCGGAUUUACUGGGUGUAAAGGGAGCGUAGACGGCCAGACAAGUCAGAAGUGAAAGCCCAGGGCUCAACCCUGGGACUGCUUUUGAAACUGCCGGGCUGGAGUGCAGGAGAGGUAAGCGGAAUUCCUAGUGUAGCGGUGAAAUGCGUAGAUAUUAGGAGGAACACCAGUGGCGAAGGCGGCUUACUGGACUGUAACUGACGUUGAGGCUCGAAAGCGUGGGGAGCAAACAGGAUUAGAUACCCGUGUAGUC